GGGGCCACCACUUCUGCUUCAUGAUGUCCAGGUCGCCUUUCUCCUGCAGCUCCAAGAUCCUGAAGAUUGAGAAGAGAUGAACAGAGGCAGGGCUGACUGCACAGAGGAGACUGCGAGGAGAUAUUCACUGAAUCUGACAAAAAGACCUGUUUUGGAUUAGAAUACAGACCCCUGUUUUAAUGUGGCCAUGUUGAAAUUGUUGAACAAAGUAGAUUUAAACCCCCUCAAAAAACCCUGAUUUCUUCAUGACAACAGAAUUUUGAGGUGGUGACCACAUGCUUGUAACAGUACAUUUAAAAUAAUAUACAGAUCAUUAGAAUUGUUCAUAUUUAGCAGCAGUCUGCGUGUGGUUUGAGUGAAAGAUGCAGUUUCGUGACGUCAACAUGAAGGCUGUACUCGUGUCACACUCUAAUUAUUCUUGAACCUGCAGACAAUCCCACAAUAGGCCUGCACAAUGAAGCAAUUUAGCAUCAAUACUGCUGCAAUUUUGUUAUUGAAAUUAGUCAAUAUGGGCGAUUACAUGACGUGUUAAAUGGUACUAAUCAACGUUACGGAGCAGGGGAGGUGUUCAAUGCUGCAGUCACUCACAUUUUGAGUAUUUUCAGUAAAAUUGAAUUAGGCAUAAUAGAGAUUUUACUUGUCAACUUCUUUUGUGUUUUAUUUCACCAAGGUGAUAAUUUGUUGCUUUAAUGUUUCAGAAUGACAGCUGGAUUGAUUUGUUGUUUUAUUUGCUGUCCAUCUGAGGUAAUAUCAGUCAUCUUGGCGCUUUCAUAAGUGAGGUGUUCACCCAUCAUGAUUAAAUGGUCGAUUAACAUAAA